AAUGAGGCUACAAAUGGAGAGCUUAACUUCUCUGGGUUCUCUUCGACUUUUAGAUUGGAUCUAAUAGAAACAAAGAGGCGAAAAGAAGGAAACAAUUUUUUUCUCGAUAGGAAAUUAUAGGACGAGAAUUGAAAGUUACUUCAGACCUAUAUUGUCAUCAUCCAAAAAUCAAAAGGUUUUGAUUAAAAAAUUGAACAUAAAAAAUGAUUAAGAAAUGGGAAAUACAAUAACAGAUUGGAAUGGAAAAUCACAGAUCUGAGAAAAACUAAGCGAAAUUCCCAUUUAUAGAAAAAAGAUUCAAAUUUCACUAACAAGAACAACAUGAAAACAAAGCAAAUUCCCCCGAGCAAUUAUAAUCACCCAUCAAAAAGAGAAAAUCCAAAGCCUCUAUCUCUCUCUAUAUCUAUAUGUAUGCAUUUUCUCACUCAAAAAUUGAG
rnacentral:lncRNA from 1 species